CGGAGGAAAUGAGCACACAGGGGGCGAUGAUGUUGAUGACGUAGAAGAGGGGCUUGCGCUGGAUGAGCAGUCCACAGCCACUUGAGCACGGCCUAAUAGAACUGAGGACUCACCUGGUGGUUGAACCAAGACCUGCUGCCAGCAGCGUCACCAUGAGGCAGAGAGAAGCAAAGACUGCGGCUGAAGGCCCUAGACUCUCAUCUCUGUGCACAAGACAGACCCUCCCUGAGUUGAUGGACUAUUCCUGGGGAAGUCUCAGACUUCCUGCUCACCUGACAGGUGUGAGAACAAACUGGCUUUCCUAUUUAGACAGGAAAAUUAAAGAUGUGUACCUUGAA